AUUCGCGGAUCCUAACCGGGUCAAAACAGAAAACGGGUCAAUCCAAUUUCACUCUCUCAUUCACGCUCUCUCUCUCUGCGACGGAACCCUAAUCUCUCGUUGGAGAGCUUCCUUCAUCUCAUAACAACCAAUCAGGCAAAUACAAAAAUUGGACCUUAUAGGAGAAAAAUUGUGAUAGAGAAUUGGGAAGAUAUAUAUAUUCUUUUCUCUCAAGAUCGUGCUGACGGGCAAGGUGCAAAAACACAUCAGGCAGGAUGAUCAAAACAUGAUGAAUAUGGUGGAAAACUGGAGAUUAUGGAUUGGGGGGAGGGGGCAGUUAAGUAUGAAUACAUUCAUACAUACUUUCAUGGAGCAGUUUAUAUUUGUAAAUUAAGAUAAAGAGGAAUCAAGCUGGGCUUCUCAAUGUCUAAGGCUAAGAAGGACAUUUUGUGGAUAUGUUUAACACAUACUUACACACCAUUAGCAAUUUGAAUUUUCAGUUUAUUUUCCAACUAUUCUCCGACUAAGGAGAAAAUACAAAGUUGGAAGUUUUAUCAAACAUGUGUGAAUGCUUUGUAUGGAGUUUACUUCACAUAUUCUGGUUUAAUUAUAGAUGUUUCAGUUUAUUUGCUGCUCGA